UGAUUAUGGUUUCUCAUUCCUCUAGUUCUUCCAGCUCCUGCUCUCUUGCCCCCUCUCUGUCUGUCAUCAGAACGAAGAAGCUUCUAAAGGACAACAGUAAAAUAAACAAAAACCAACACACUGGAACGGGAUGAAAUGAUUGAGGGCAAAGCGCCCAAGAGAAGAUAGAGAUGCCGAGACCUGCUCAUGCUCACACUCAGAAUCCCAUAAAAAAUACUAAACUGGAAGCCAUAACAUAUAUGCAAAGGACCUGUAGGGCAAAAGGGAGAGAAGAAAAAAAUAUGAUGUUUUCAUCUCCCUGAACAGCAACUGUGCCACUGCCGCCGCCGCCGCCGCCGCCGCCGCCGCCGCCGCCACCGGCCACCAUGCCUCCUAUGCCCUGCCCUUCCCACCUCACCCCCCCCCCCUCUACUGACGUGCCUGGGACAGACAUUUCAUACAUAAAUAAUACUGCACAUGGUCUUUGUAGCUGCCUUCUUUUGUUUAACAUAUCUUCACGGUCAAUCUUAUAGUAGCAUGUAUUAAUUAGUUGUUACGUGUUAGGCCCUCAAAACACACAGCUAAAUAUAAUAAAAUAUAUUUAUUUUUAAA